CUCAAAGUCCGGCCGGCCGGAGGCAGCCACCAACUCCUCUCAACUUCUGCAGAUCGGCUGGGCGAAGCAACACGCUUCCUGCGCGUCUCUCCUAGGGGCUGAGCCGGGGUGAGGAGGACUCAAAAAGACAUCUAGGUUUUCUCGAUGACCUAUGAUGGAACAGAACCUGCUUCAGAGAAGGGCCCUGGAAGAGCGAUAGUAGCAGAAACAUAAAGUACACAGUAGUGGUCACAGAUGAUGGUCCAGAAAGCAGUGAGCUGAGUUGCUGGAGAAGCAGCCACGGUCUUCAUCUUACCAGGACAAGUCUACUCUAUGGUCAGUUUACCUGCGGGAGAAUAAAAAUAAAUUAUCAU